CCAGCUUGACUUCCGCUCCCGCAGUACCAACUCUGGCGGCUCGCCCACCGGUGGCCGGUAAACUGCUUGGGGGUCUGAGAUCAUGGAGGCAGCGCGCCCUCCCUCGACGGCCGGGAAGUUUGUGGUGGUUGGCGGUGGCAUCGCGGGUGUCACUUGUGCUGAGCAGUUGGCUAUUCACUUUCCAUCAGAAGAUAUUCUCCUGGUAACAGCUUCUCCUGUUAUUAAAGCAGUUACAAAUUUCAAGCAGGUAUCUAAAGUAUUGGAGGAAUUUGAUGUUGAAGAGCAACCGAACACCAUGUUAGAAAAUCGCUUUCCCAACAUUAAGGUCAUAGAAUCUGGAGUAAAGCAACUGAAGAGUAAAGAACACUGCAUUUUAACAGGGGAUGGCAGUCAGCAUGUGUAUAAGAAACUCUGUCUGUGUGCUGGAGCUAAACCAAAGUUGAUAUGUGAAGGAAAUCCUUAUGUAUUAGGAAUCCGUGAUACAGACAGUGCUCAGGAAUUCCAGAAACAGCUUACUAAAGCUAAAAGAAUAAUGAUCAUAGGGAAUGGUGGCAUUGCACUUGAACUAGUGUAUGAAAUUGAAGGCUAUGAAGUUAUUUGGGCCAUUAAAGAUAAAGCUAUUGGGAAUACUUUCUUCGAUGCAGGUGCAGCUGAAUUCUUGACUUCAAAGCUCAUUGCUGAAAAACCAGAGGCUAAAAUUGCACAUAAAAGAACCAGAUAUACAACUGAAGGAAGAAAAAAGGAAUUGCAAACCAAAGGUAGUGGUGGCAAUAUGGGCAGUGCCUUGGGACCUGAUUGGCAUGAAGGCUUGAAUCUUAAAGGAACAAAAGAGUUUUCUCAUAAGAUUCACAUUGAAACUACGUGUGAAGUAAAGAAAAUCUACCUUCAGGAAGAAUUUAGAAUUUCUAAGAAAAAGUCCUUGCCUUUUCCGAGAGACCAUCAUAAGCAGUCAGUCACAACUGAUGAAGAGGUAUGGCCUGUAUAUGUGGAAUUGACCAAUGAAAAGAUAUACGGCUGCGAUUUCGUUGUCAGUGCUACAGGAGUUACACCAAACAUAGAACCUUUUCUCAGUGGUAACAAUUUUGAUGUAGGAGAAGAUGGUGGCCUGAAAGUGGAUGAUCACAUGCACACGUCUGUCUCUGACAUCUACGCGGCAGGUGAUGUCUGCACUGCAUCCUGGCAGCCCAGCCCAGUCUGGCAGCAGAUGAGGCUGUGGACCCAGGCUAGACAGAUGGGAUGGUACGCAGCCAAGUGCAUGGCUGCAGCUACUUUAGGACACUCUAUUGACAUGGACUUCAGCUUUGAACUUUUUGCUCAUGUAACAAAAUUCUUUAACUAUAAGGUUGUAUUGCUGGGAAAAUACAACGCACAGGGCUUAGGUUCAGAUCAUGAAUUAAUGCUGAGAUGCACCAAAGGACAGGAAUACGUCAAAGUCGUCAUGCUGAAUGGGCGCAUGAUGGGAGCAGUCUUGAUUGGUGAAACUGACUUAGAAGAAACCUUUGAGAACUUAAUUUUAAAUCAGAUGGAUCUUUCAUCAUAUGGAGAAGAUCUGCUGGAUCCAAAUAUUGAUCUAGAAGAUUAUUUUGAUUAAAAAAAAAAAAAACCUUUCAAGAACUACAUACCGUUCCAAAUAAGAGAAAGUCACAAUAAGGUUAGAAGUCUGACAUGGGUCUCCCUGGAUUAAAAUCAAGGCGUCAACAGGGAUGGAUUUCCUUUGGAGGCUCUGGGGAAGAAUCUGUUUCCUUGUCCUUUCCAGUUUCUGGAGACUGCCUUAAAUUCCUUGGUUAAUGCCCCCCUUUACCCCAUCUUCAAAGCCAAUGAGUAUCAUUCUGACCUUUCCUGCUUCCUUCCACAUUUAAGGACCCUUGUGAUUAUACCGGACCCACCCAAACAACCCAGGGUUAUAUCCAUAUUUUAAGGUUGAUUGUCAACCUUAAUUCCAUUUGCAAUGUUAAUUCCCUUUUGCCAUGGAAGGUAACUUACAGUUUCCAGGAAUCUGAAUGUAGACAUCUUUGGGGGACUGGUUUUCUGCUCACCACAUAUAAUUUUUUUCCAUAUGUACCCUAAACAUUGAUUUUGAAAUUGUCAGAUUCACUUCAAGAUUCAGUAUUUUGCAACUAUUAAAUAAUCUUCCUGAAUAGCAAAGUAGUUUCUUGUAUUUUGCAGUAUCAGUUUCACUCUAAACCACAAAAUGUACUUCUUGGGGGGUCUACUGGAUAUCUAAUGAAACUUUCAUUUUCCUAUUUAACUAGAUGAUUGUGCCAUCUAUAGGAAAGAAAUGACAUUUUUGUCCAGUUACUGC